UACGAAGGGGGCUAGCGUUGCUCGGAAUGACUGGGCGUAAAGGGCGCGUAGGCGGAUGGCACAGUCAGAUGUGAAAUUCCCGGGCUUAACCUGGGGGCUGCAUUUGAUACGUGUUGUCUUGAGUUCGGAAGAGGGUCGUGGAAUUCCCAGUGUAGAGGUGAAAUUCGUAGAUAUUGGGAAGAACACCAGUGGCGAAGGCGGCUCACUGGUCCGGUACUGACGCUGAGGUGCGAAAGCGUGGGGAGCAAACAGG
rnacentral:rRNA from 1 species